AUGGGAGUAGUCUCUGACACUUAUGGCAACUUGCUCUGCCCUAUUCUCAUGAAAAUGAUACCAGAAGAAAUGGCUUUGCAGUUCACCCGUCAAAACGGUAGUGAACGAGAUGAUGCAAAUAAUGACAACACGUUCAGUGUCAAAAGCCUGAUGACGUUUUUCCAAAAGGAGGUUGAAAGUCGUGAAAGAACAGCAAAUCUCACCCAGAGUGUGCAACAACCAGAUAAAGAGAAACAAUGGGAAAAGUCCUAUGUGGAGAAAAGAAUACCGGAAAAAAGGAGAUCUUACACAGCCUCUACAGCCUCGUUUCACGCUGUCAGCAUUAGAGAUGAGCCAAAGUGUAUAUUCUGUGGAGGAAAUAAUCAUAGAUCUAAGAACUGUAUAGAACUGACUCUUGAACUGAGGAGAGAAAAAUUAAUUAAGUGUUUUGUGUGUUUAGGCAGCAGACACGUUGCGCGUAAUUGUAAAACGCAGGGAAUUACCUGUGAAGAAUGUGGACGAAGACACCAGAAAGUAGUCUGCCUUCAAUUAGCCAAUCAACAAGAAAAACACACAGAAGAGAGACAGGAAAGCACACAGCAAGCUGCCCGAAAUCUCCCAGCAGAUGCAGUGAUAGCAAGUGCAGCUCCCAGUAGUUCUAUGAGUAGUCCAGUUUUACUCCAAACAGCUACCGUUCGGAUAGACGCACCCACUCAAAAUCAUGUGGCUAGAUGUCUUUUAGAUGGAGGUAGCUUGCAUAGUUUUAUUCGAGAAGGCAUAUCCAGAGCACUUAACUUGCCAGUAAUAGGUAAGGAAACACUGAAUGUUUUUGUGUUUGGCUCCAAAACACCCCAAAGACUGACAUGCAAGAAGGUGAAGGUGCGUUUAAGGAACAUCAGAAAUAAUCAGAACAUCGAAGUUCAGCUCCUGGAGACGCCCAAGGUGAGCUCUUCAAUUAUUAAAAUGGCAAAUGAAACGAUAAGAAAUGAUUUGGAGUCAAAAGGAAUGCCUAUGGUGGAUGUUCCCAUGAAAGGAAUGGAGUCAGAAGAACUGGGAGUCCUAAUUGGAGGAGACCAGUACUGGAGAAUUGUCACUGGCAAAAUGGAAAAGCAGGAAGAUGGACUAGUUGCGCUGGGAAGUGUGUUUGGAUGGCUGGUGCAAGGAGAGGUCACCACACUGAAUAUUGUCACCGAAGCUGUUGACGUUGAAUUGCUGCAUGUCUGUGUUGAGCAAGAUCAAGCACUCUCCAACCAGUUGCGCAGUUUUGGGGAGUUGGAAUCACUCAGAAUAGGUAAGGAAGAAUUACAUUCCGAGACAGAUGAAACAGUUCUGAACAGAUUUGAAGAAACUGUGAAGUUUGUUGACGUCAGAUACGAAGUCCGACUGCCCUGGAAAAAUGAGCAUGUAACUAUGUCUUCAAAUUAUGUUACAGCAAAAACAGAUUUGAUAAUCUAA
rnacentral:lncRNA from 1 species